GGGCUUUGGGCAUGCUAUACAUGCAGUCGAGCGAACUGAUUAGAAGCUUGCUUCUAUGACGUUAGCGGCGGACGGGUGAGUAACACGUGGGCAACCUGCCUGUAAGACUGGGAUAACUCCGGGAAACCGGAGCUAAUACCGGAUAACAUUUUCUCUUGCAUAAGAGAAAAUUGAAAGAUGGUUUCGGCUAUCACUUACAGAUGGGCCCGCGGUGCAUUAGCUAGUUGGUGAGGUAACGGCUCACCAAGGCAACGAUGCAUAGCCGACCUGAGAGGGUGAUCGGCCACACUGGGACUGAGACACGGCCCAGACUCCUACGGGAGGCAGCAGUAGGGAAUCUUCCGCAAUGGACGAAAGUCUGACGGAGCAACGCCGCGUGAGUGAUGAAGGCUUUCGGGUCGUAAAACUCUGUUGUUAGGGAAGAACAAGUACAAGAGUAACUGCUUGUACCUUGACGGUACCUAACCAGAAAGCCACGGCUAACUACGUGCCAGCAGCCGCGGUAAUACGUAGGUGGCAAGCGUUAUCCGGAAUUAUUGGGCGUAAAGCGCGCGCAGGCGGUUUCUUAAGUCUGAUGUGAAAGCCCACGGCUCAACCGUGGAGGGUCAUUGGAAACUGGGGGAACUUGAGUGCAGAAGAAAAAAGCGGAAUUCCACGUGUAGCGGUGAAAUGCGUAAAAGAUGGGGGAGGAACACCAGGUGGGCGAAGGCGGGCUU
rnacentral:rRNA from 2 species